CAUUGGACUUGGACAGCUUUGUUCCUUCUCUGGGACCAAGUCAACAAGCUGGGACCAGAGGAGCUGCGGCUGUAGCACGCAGGGACCGAACAAAAGAGCAAAUAUACAGAUAUCCCUGGAAGCCAGAGUUCUUGGAAGGAAGAAAUACACAUACAGAAUGGGAGAAGGCAAGGAAAAACCCUGUAAGGUUGGGAUGCAUUCAGAGAAAUAGAAACUUCUGAUUCCAUAUAGGCCUUCCUUCAUCCCCUCAACCCUCAGCUUUGUGGCCUCUAUCUUGGACUGUCAAAGGCCAGUUUAAACAAUGGUCACACAGAGAUUCACACUUCUCGCAAGCCCCAACUCAAUCUCCUGCCAUGUUUUUCAGCUGUCUGAAUCGUGUGCACGGUUGUGGGACAUUUGGACUACAGAUAAGAAAAUGUGGCACAUAUACACCAUGGAAUAGUAUGCAGCCAUAAAAAAUGAUGAGUUCAUGUC
rnacentral:lncRNA from 1 species